GCAGGAUUAGUUUAAUGGUAAAAUGCCACUCUUCCAAAGUGGAUUUGGGGGUUCGAUUCUCCUAUCCUGCU
rnacentral:tRNA from 1 species